GGACUGUGUCUGCCUACCAUACUACAGGAGCAGCACAGUGUCUGGUACAUGGCAUAGCAGCUGCUUAGUAAAUACUGGUGGAGCAAAAGAAUGGGUGAAGAAAUGAACGAUUAUUGGAACAGCUUCAUCAGAGGCAAGUUGCAGAAGUUCAGUGGUGGAGGUGGCUAUUAACCAAAUAAUUAUGGGCAUCUUCUAGAUAGUUGGAGAUAUAUAUUCUAGCCUCUGGGUAGGAUAUUUCUUCAGGGCACAUGUAAAAUGGGAAGAGUGAGGUGGAAGGAUCUUCUCUGCUCACAGCCCCUAAAGUAAAAAUAGGAGUGCAGCCUGGGGCACCACCGAAAUGCAGGCCUCUCUGCUGCUCCUGCUGCCACUGUUUGGCCUGGGUGACUUGAGCACCUACCAGCCCUCACCUUCCUCCAUCCUCCCUCCUCUGCCUGUCCUUAGCCAGCAGCAGCCAGACCACCUGUACAGGAGCAGCCAGCAUGUGGUGGAGGAGGCUUCAUGCCACCUCUUGCUAUCAGGGAAGACCUGCCUUGAGAACCUACUCGCUGAGGGCCCUGGGAGAUGCUAAUGACCAUAAAGAGUCAUCUAGAUGCAGCGGUGAUGAGAGUCUCUUGUCCUCUGUCUGCCACUGCAUUUUAGAAUAAUCUUCCCUUCCUCCAAAUCCAGAUCUAAAAGGUGUAGCAGUGUUUUAAGGCUUGCUUUAGAACUUCUAGCCAUAAACCCCACACCUGAAUCAGACCACAAUGCAAUUAAAGGGCCUCUCUGAACCUCAAUUUCUUCAUAUGUGUGUAAUGGAAACAACAAUACCUACUACGCCCAGUUGUUGUGAAGGUUAAAUGGGUUGACAUAGGUGUUGUGCCAGGCGUAAUGCCCAACCACAUGAGCACCUGCCUCUCCAUGCCACGCAAGGCUGACCCUUCUCCAGGAUCUGAUACAAUGAUACUCACUCACCCAGCACUCAUACUUCCACCCCACCAUAGCCUCACGCCGACAUAAAACCCACAACCUAUUCUCCUUGGCAUUUAUGCCUUUCCCAAAACUCAGUCACUAUGCAUCCAUUGCCUGGUGUUUUUGCUUUAUUUCUGGAACGCCAUCCCUUUCCCACAUUUAGUAUCAGGUGCCAGUGCGGCUGUCAACACCAGUGCUUGCAACUCCUCCAUGCUGAUGCUGUAAAUCCAAACUUCAUCUCUCCCCAGGAGCAUCUUCCAAUCAGCGUUGGCUGCCACAUGGUCAUUACUAUGUCUGCAGUUUCUCAGGAGCGUUGCACGAUGCUACGCUAACAGUUGUUAAUGAGAGGAAUAUAUCUUUGUGAAGUCGGCAGGCAGCUCUCCCAGAACUCAAAUGGUAUCCCUUUGGGUGAUUCUGCAUUUUUUAAAAAAUAACAAUGAAUGGCUAUUUUUCCAAAUAUCAAAGUGGAAGAGGCUGAAGCAUUGUGCCCUGCUCUGAGAGUCUUUGUCCCUCUAUCACCUUGAGAGAAGAUUUGGCUUAAUAGGCUCCUGCAUUUUUGAGGCUAGGUUUACGAAGUGAUGAGGUCUCCUGUCAAUAAGUUAGACAUCUUUCAUUCCUCAAAACUGACUUAAGUAGUGGGAUUGUCACUUUGUUGACUCUCCAACAUAUAAUCCCCUUCCUGUUACCAUCCCAAUAUGGGAAAUCCCACUGAUGCCUUCUUGGAGGUAGAGAGUGUCUGCCCACCAUCAUGGGGAAUUCCCCAUGGGGUGACAUCUUAGGGAAAGGGAGCACUUGGUCAUCAUUAAGGAAGUUAAAGAGUCCAUUUUUGACCCUUCCUGCUCAUUCCAAAAGUAGGCAGGAAUAUAACUCCAAAUCGGCCCAUCAGACACCACUGGAUGCCACUGAGGCUUAUCAUAUAAGACAGCAAAGCCACCCUCAGAUGAGGCUCCAUCUGUCUGCUGCUCCUCUUUCUGAUAUAAGUUAGAAUGAAGGCACAUAAAACACAACUUCUCUACUUCUCUAUGACCAACAAUUCCGCUCCUAGGUAUUUCCCAAGAUAAAUGGAAAACACAUGUCUAUGAAGGACUCUGAUACAAAUGUUCAUAGCAGCCUCAAACCAGAAACUACCCAAAUGUUCACCAACUAAAACUGGAUAAGGAAAUGGUGGUGUAUCCAUACAAUGGAAUUCCAUUCAACAAUAAAAAGAACAAACUACUGGACACAUGCAACAAAUUGGAUGACUCCCAUAAACAUUAGGUGAGUGAUAGAAGCCAGACCCAAAACGUAAAUAGUGUACGAUUCCAUUUACAUAAAAUCUAAGACCAGACAAAGCUAACCUAGGAUGGUAGAAGUCAGAACACAGUGAGCAUUGUCUCAGCGCAGUGGAGGCAGGGGAAUGAUUAGAAACAGGAACAAAAAGAACUUUCUGGAGCUAUGAAAGUGUCCUGUGUCUUGUUGGGUGGCAAUUUCAUAGGUGUAUACAUUGCUACAAUCCAUUGCGCUGAACCUAAGAUCUGUGCAUUUGACUGUACAUAAUUACACCUGAACUUUUUCUUUAAUGUCAGUUAAAAAGAAAAACUGAAUAAAGACUGGAAGCUGCUCUUCUCUGGGGUUUAGAAUGCCACCCGUCUCUCCAUGUCCCCCCUACCCCCGAUCCCCGCCAAGGUGUGGCAGCCCUACAGGUGACACCUGGCACUCCCCAGACCUGCUCUCUGCCCCCAGCAAAUCCAGUUAUCCUCAGCUUCCAGCUUUGUCACCCAUCCCCACCUGGGGAUAGAAUUGAUAGAGUUAUCUCUGCAGGCUUCUAGCUGAGAAGAAAGGGACUAAAGAAACCACAGGAACUCCCGGGCUUUGGUUACAGUUGUUCCAUUUCAACUGUCCAUCUGUCAGGACCACGCACCACAGAGGCAGCCCCAAAGGGUGAAAAAACUAACUCAGGUCUUCUGGUCCAGCGCAUCCCUCCAGGAAAGAGAAAGACCUAUUUGUUUUGGUCUAAACUGAAGAAGGCAGCUGAAAUUCCAACUGCCUGCAGAGAAGCACUCGAUGAAGCCCUUGGAAUUGUUUGGAAGUCUGGAAAGAUAUCUGCAAAGAAGAGGAACAAAGAGAAGAUUGGAAGGAGCCAGGUGGACCUGCCUUCACUCAUACAGUGAAACUCCAGUCUUGGAAGGGAGAAAUGGGAGAUAGCAAGAGAGUCCCCCAGGAGAGCCACAUACACCCAGGCUACGCAGUGGGAAGUGAACUGCACCUGCUACAUCUACCGAACUGCCAUCUCUACAUCCAUCUCCCUUUCUUCCUCCCGUGCCCUUUGCUGCCUCCUCCCAGAAUCCCUGUUGACACAGCCUCUGCCCUCAAGCCUGAGCCUUACCUGCCUCCCUAGCCUCAGCCCCCGAAGCUUAACAUACCCUGCAGCAUGUCCUAGGCACAAUCAACUAUAAUCAGCCUCUAGCCCUAUAACAGAUGGAGCUCUUGUGAUUUCCUGCAGCUGUGCCAGUUGUUGAGGAUGCCAGCAGCUGAAUCCCUUCAUGGAAGACGCUGAGAGAGACAGUAUAGUGGCGGAAAGGAUGUGACUUUUGCAGUCAGAUCAGUACUCAAAUUGAGAUCUCAACUUACCAGCUACUUGACUUGACAUGCCCUCCUUGAGACACCAUUUCUUUAUUGCCCGCUUCAAGGAAAUAAUAAAAUGAAAAUAAUAAAACCUA